rnacentral:lncRNA from 1 species
UUCAUUUUUACCGGUCAGUAUCUUCACCAUCGACAAUAACGAGCUUAAUCAGAAAACAAGCGGCAAUCAGCGACUCUUCCAUAACCAGAACAACAUGAGUUUCCAAGGAGAGAUAAAAUCGUGAAGAGAGAGAAAAUAGAUUUUUAAACUUUGAAAUCCCAUAUCUUGGAAUCCGUACAUCCGAUCCAAAUGAUUUCAGGGGCUAUGGAUUCCUAGCAGAGAGCUUUCAAAUGGGACUAAUUUCGUCGGAUUUAGUUCUCGUUUUCAAUGCCCGUGAAGAAAGAGAACCACAAACUUUUGUCAUUUUUGCCUCAC